GUGCUUGCUUCGGCAGCGCAUAUACUAAAAUUGGAACGACGCAGAGAAGAUUAGCAUGGCCCUUGCGCAAGGAUGACCCACACAUCCGUGAAACGUUCCACAUUUUU
rnacentral:snRNA from 1 species